rnacentral:rRNA from 1 species
AACGAACGCUGGCGGCAUGCCUAACACAUGCAAGUCGAACGAGACCUUCGGGUCUAGUGGCGCACGGGUGCGUAGCGCGUGGGAACCUGCCCUUAGGUUCGGAAUAACUCCCCGAAAGGGGUGCUAAUACCGGAUAAUGUCUUCGGACCAAAGAUUUAUCGCCUUUGGAUGGGCCCGCGUUGGAUUAGCUAGUUGGUAGGGUAAAAGCCUACCAAGGCGACGAUCCAUAGCUGGUCUGAGAGGAUGAUCAGCCACACUGGGACUGAGACACGGCCCAGACUCCUACGGGAGGCAGCAGUGGGGAAUAUUGGAAAAUGGGCGAAAGCCUGAUCCAGCAAUGCCGCGUGAGUGAUGAAGGCCUUAGGGUUGUAAAGCUCUUUUAACCGGGAUGAUAAUGACAGUACCGGGAGAAUAAGCUCCGGCUAACUCCGUG